UGGAGAGGUUAUGGAGAAAAGGGAACCCUAGUGCACUGCUGGUGGGAAUAUAGACUGGUGCAGCCACUGUGGAAAACAGUAUGGUAUUCCUUCAAAAUAUAAGAAUGGAAUUGCCUUUUUACCCAUCAAUUCCACUGCUGGGAUUAUACCCUAAGAAUCCUGAAACACCAAU